GUUACAAAAGAAACAAUACAAACAUGCAAAAAUCGACUUCAAAAUGGAUUAUUUUAAUUCAUUUAUAAUCGCUAGACUUGACAGAUACGUCUUAGCCUCAUCACUACAAACUUCAAUAGACAACUGUCAAAUGUGUUAACUUAGAUCUCACGAACUAUAGCUACAAAAGUUGGGCUGCGCAGCAUUGCAGUCGACGUUUUCCAAAUAUGAAUCCCUAACAUCUCAAAACACGUCGAUAUAGCCGCCACAGAUCUUCCAAUAAGCCAACAAUGAUAAUUAAAGUAUACUUCGCCGGAUCAUAGCAAACUGCGCAGUCAUGCCGUCGAUCAUCUAUCGCUUGACAGACAAACACACCGGGUUUGUUCCACUUGGACCUCUUCUAGAGAUGAAGACUGAAGUCAACUGCGUUAUGGAUAAUAUAACUCACGAUAGGACGGGUCUACGGUUCAAUUUGUAAUGGUUAAUGGUCAAUUCUAAUUAACGUUCAGACAACACUGUACGACUUUUUGUUUUCUACGAAAAACCACUUUCAGCAAAACGAAA